rnacentral:rRNA from 1 species
UACAGAGGGUGCAAGCGUUAAUCGGAUUUACUGGGCGUAAAGCGUGCGUAGGUGGCCGCGUAAGUCGGUUGUGAAAUCCCUGGGCUCAACCUGGGAAUUGCUUCCGAUACUGCGUGGCUCGAGUUCGGUAGAGGGUGGCAGAACUCCCGGUGUAGCGGUGAAAUGCGUAGAUAUCGGGAAGAAUACCGAUGGCGAAGGCAACCACCUGGGCCUGAACUGACACUGAGGCACGAAAGCGUGGGUAGCAAACAGGAUUAGAAACCCCCGUAGUCC